rnacentral:rRNA from 1 species
CGUAGGGUGCGAGCGUUAAUCGGAAUUACUGGGCGUAAAGCGUGCGCAGGCGGUUUUGUAAGACAGGCGUGAAAUCCCCGGGCUCAACCUGGGAACUGCGCUUGUGACUGCAAGGCUAGAGUACGGCAGAGGGGGGUGGAAUUCCACGUGUAGCAGUGAAAUGCGUAGAGAUGUGGAGGAACACCAAUGGCGAAGGCAGCCCCCUGGGUCGAUACUGACGCUCAUGCACGAAAGCGUGGGUAGCAAACAGGAUUAGAUACCCUGGUAGUCCACGCCCUAAACGAUGUCAACUAGGUGUUGGGUGGGUAAAACCAUUUAGUACCGGAGCUAACGCGUGAAGUUGACCGCCUGGGGGAGUACGGCCGCAAGGUUA